GUACACUCCUGCGGGAGGCAGCAGUGGGGAAUAUUGCACAAUGGGCGCAAGCCUGAUGCAGCCAUGCCGCGUGUAUGAAGAAGGCCUUCGGGUUGUAAAGUACUUUCAGCGGGGAGGAAGGCGAUAAGGUUAAUAACCUUGUCGAUUGACGUUACCCGCAGAAGAAGCACCGGCUAACUCCGUGCCAGCAGCCGCGGUAAUACGGAGGGUGCAAGCGUUAAUCGGAAUUACUGGGCGUAAAGCGCACGCAGGCGGUCUGUCAAGUCGGAUGUGAAAUCCCCAGGCUCAACCUGGGAACUGCAUUCGAAACUGGCAGGCUAGAGUCUUGUAGAGGGGGGUAGAAUUCCAGGUGUAGCGGUGAAAUGCGUAGAGAUCUGGAGGAAUACCGGUGGCGAAGGCGGCCCCCUGGACAAAGACUGACGCUCAGGUGCGAAAGCGUGGGGAGCAAACAGGAUUAGAAACCCUGGUAGUCCCA
rnacentral:rRNA from 1 species